rnacentral:rRNA from 1 species
UGCAGAAUCCCGUGAACCAUCGAGUCUUUGAACGCAAGUUGCGCCCCAAGCCUUCUGGCCGAGGGCACGUCUGCCUGGGUGUCACUAAUCGUCGUCCCCCCAUCCUCUAAGGAAACGGGACGGAAGCUGGUCUCCCGUGUGAUACCGCACGCGGUUGGCCAAAAUCCGAGCAAGGGACGCUAGGAUCGUCUCGACAUGCGGUGGAGAAUUCAAACUUCGUCAUACCGUCGGUCGAUCCUGUCCCGAAGCUCUAGAUGACCCAAAGUCUUCAUUGCGACCCCAGGUCAGGCGGGAUCACCCGCUGAGUUUAAGCAUAUCAAUAAGCGGAGGAAAAGAAACUAACAAGGAUUCCCUUAGUAACGGCGAGCGAACCGGGAAGAGCCCAGCUUGAAAAUCGAGCGCCCUCGGCGUUCGA